AAACCAAGAAAUUUAGUCAUUCUUUUAUGGUAAAAAGACAGUUAAGCAAAUAUAGAAAAGUUAUUAGACCCUUAGUAUAGGAGUAAAAUCUAAAUACUAAAAGUUAUACGGAAUAUGACUUAGUUAGAAUGCUGAAGCUGUGAUAGCUUUAAGGGAAACUGGGAUUGGAUACCCCAUUAUUUUUAGUUGUAAAUUUAGUUUAAGCUUACCAGAGUACUACGAAUAAAAAGUUUAAAACUCAAAGAGCUUGGCGGUGUUUUAGACCUCUCAGGGGAACCUGUCUCAUAAUCGACAAUCCACGUUAAACCUAACCUUUGAUAGCAAUUCAGCCUGUAUACCGUUGUCGUCAGGUAACUUCUUAAAAUAUAGUAGUUAGCUUGAAAAUUUUAUUAAUUAAAACGUCAAAUCAAGGUGCAGCUAAUAAAAAGGUGAAGAUGGGUUACAAUUACAUAUUUGUAAAUACGGAUAAACAUUUGAAAGAAUGUUUUAAAGGAGGACUUGAAAGUAAUUUUAAUUAUAUAAACAAAAUGAAUGAGGCUCUGAAACGUG
rnacentral:rRNA from 1 species